CUUUCUUCGGAGUUGUGCGUUUGUUUUUAAAUCAAAUAGAUUUAUUCUUGAUGUCUCGGGCACAUUAUUGCAGUAACCUCAUCCUUGGACCAAAACUUUGGCAGAACACACAUAUCUGUAAUGAGGACUUUGUGUUCUGUGGAGGCUUUAUUACAAAAGAGGAUGAACAAGUAUAUUAGAAAGAAAGGGGAGAAACAGGGAAGACUACUUUUUUUGGCAAAGCUUUGUGCUACAGCUCUCGUUUCUCUGGUUGCAGCUGCCUUCAGGCGCACAUCUCAGUCCCUUGUUAUGUUGUGCUCAACUGUUGAUGCUUCCCAGAUUUGCUCUUUGGUGAAACAGGCACGUGUGCAGGUUCCCCAUAAAAAUGGCCGGUUUGGGUUUUACCAGGAACUCUGGCACUUCUCCAUUAUAAGAAGGGAUUACAUUUUUAGGGAGAAUUAACAAGGCAGGAGUAGUGAAGCACUUGAAAUGUCCAGUUUAAUUCUCUCUCUUCCUGCAAGCAAGCUCACACGAGCAGGUUUUUCAGAAGUCCUGAAAUGAAAGCUUCCUGGAAGAAAUACAUAUCCCUGUGGGACCACACAGCUCUCAGUCCUGCCUCCGUGUGAAGGUAAGAAAGCUCUGUUUUCAUUUACUAUUUAUGAGAUGUGCAUUCGUAUUACAAAGUGACCAUAGGAUUCUGGGCUCUUAAGAAUCUCCAAAUGAGAUGGAGCUCAUUACUUUUUAAUGUAAAAAGGAUUAUUGUGAUCUUAGUGACAGGAUAUGUGACCUCAGCUAUGUGUCUUGCUGUAGGAUAUGUACUGAGGCUUUUCCUUUAGGGAGGUGAUAAAGCACACGCAAGUAUUUUCCACGUUCUGUUCAGCUUAUAGAGAUAUUUAUUAGAAAUAAAACCAAAGGAGAUGUAUAUACAUAUUUUAAUUGCAGACCAUGACUGGUGAAUUCAUGUGAAUUUUACUAUUGAGAUAAAUGCAGGGGCGCGUUUUCAAAAUAAAGGCUCAUAAUUACAUAAAGGCUUCUGUCUCCAUGGUUGUUCUCACGGUCCCAAAGGAAAGCAGAGUCUGAUUAUCAGGGAAUCUCCUGUGAAUAUUUCCCCAUUAAAUUGGGAUUUCCUUUGCAGAUGAUGUUCCUGGGUGUCAAGCCACGGCCCUGCUCUGGUGGCAUGUGAGGUGUGAGCCUCCAACUGCCUCUGGCUGUACUGCAGGUGGGAAGCUCUCUUGUGAUUGCUGUGCAGGUCCCUCUGAAGCAUGUUCAUUGUGUGGGGUUCUACAAGGUGUUGGAGAGGGGCUCAGAGACACCCAUGGGUGUCUGCACUCUUCUCUGUCCAUCCAUGUGUUCCAGUGGUGUUCUUCCAUUAAAACGACACUGCAGAACGAAUGCAAAGCUGGCAGAAGUGAAAGGGUUUAUGAGGGAAGCCUGUUUAAAUGUGUUUAUUAACCAGAAGAGCUGCAUUUUCAACACUGCUGAUUGCUGUGCAGACACUACUCCUUGGUUUUGCACACUCAAAUGGUUGCUGUUUAAAAUGACUUGUAAAUUAUUAACGUGUUCUCCCAGCAAUCCACAGAAUGACUGGAAGCACAGCACAUGAGCUUUCUGGCUUUAUUUCUUGCAAGUACUGCUGGGCCUGUCCCCUUCCAUGCCCGUCUGCUUCGCUGAUGAAAGCUGCCCUGGAGCCUGCAGGUUGCACAUAGGUUGUGUGCACAACGUGGACGUUAUUUAAAGAAAUGCCAACAGGUAGGGAAGGUGUUUUGCUUUUGGGAGAACGUGCCAGAUGGACAGCAUGCCAAAGACAGCUCAAGGUAUUGCAGAAAAUAGUAAAUUAAAAUCAAAAUGUCACGGGAGAGAGGUGCAGCCCCAUUGCACGUCACUGUCACUGCUUGGUUUUCUAAACCAGAAGAGCUUGAAGUGAGGCAGGACUUGUCAAAAUGCCCUUAGGGAUUUGGGUGACCUGCUCCCAGCGUGCUGCCAGCCUUUAGGCAGCUUUCAAAACCCCAAACUAAUUUCCUUCACUCAGUUCUUCCUCUCCUGAGCUCCACAAGUGCAGUAAUUGCAAGCGUUUGUUCUGAGCCAUGCAAGUUUGGGCUCCACCGCUUUUAUUUACUGCAAUUAUAUCUGGCAGAUAAUUUCUCAUAAACUCAGGAAAAUAAGAAAACUCCUGCAAACUUCACGAACAGAGAAAUAGGGCAAAUUGAUCAAAUAAGCUGCUUCCUACACGAUCAAAAAUUACUAUCUGCAUAACAUUCUGGAACAGAAAUAGCUCUGAUGAAAGUAUGAAGGCGAGCAGGAACUCGCUAGAGGCAUCUGGGCAGAGUUUUAAGGUCCUGGUCCACUUCUAGCAAGGAGAAUCUGUUUGACCUUGAUGUGAGUUACCUGACGUGGCAGUGGAGCUGCAGGAUGGCAUGUACCUUCUCCUCCCCAUUGGAAGCAUGCUGGCUUGUUAUGGGAUGCAGCCUUGGAAGGACGGAAUCCCAUUUCUGCCCUUCUGGUUGAUGACCAAUCCCAGUCCUUUUACGCCAGCAGAGAGAACUUUCCUUUCUUUCCAUGUAUAAAAUUAAACCAGAGUGUUCAAAAUACAGCAUGUGAGGUUUGUCCCACAUCUCGUUUAAGUGAGCGUGUGGUGGCAGUGAAUCUGAAUUGCAAAUAGCUGAACUCAGGUACUGGGUUUUUCUGAAAUGAGCUUUUAAUAAUUAUUGAGCUUUUUCAUCUCUGCUGUGUAGCUUAAUUUACGUGAAAAAUUUGAGUUUCAUCUGGAAUUCUCGAUCUAGUGGUGUUAACAUCUCUGAGAAAAGUAAACGGUUGCCACGAAUUAGGCCUGGGCUUGGAUGCUGCAGCUGAUUAACACCACAUAAGGACAAUUAGCAGCAUUUUUAGGAGAGGAUGGGAAGAAAUUAUCGUGUGCAGUUGAAGCUAUAAAGAGAAUUUUAGGGCGGUGUGUAAUUAGGCAAAUUAGGAUCGGGCAGUGGCUUUAACAUUCGUACCUUGAUGAAAUGUAUGUAUGAAUUCCUUAAGGAAUAUAUGGGUUCUUUAAUGACUACAGUCUUCUGUAUCAUCUCAAAGGUGUAUUUACAAAACAGUUUGGAUGGCAGAUUCAUACAGUGUUAACAUGACAUCAGGUCUGAGUGGUUUGGCAUCGCCAGGAAAGUUCAUGAGGGCUUCUCUGCCUGAACCCUGAAUUUGUCUCAUUUGGAUUUGGAUAACAGGAGGAGACAGCUUGGGAAAUGGGAGCAUACAUCUCACCGGUCUGAAGAGAGCUCAUAGCAGCUCAGGAUCUUUCUGAUUUUUAUGGUCGCUGCCUGUCCUGCCGGUCCGCCUUGGUGAAGAAACAGACUUGGGGUGGAGCAGGGAUGCAGCUGGGGUGCAAGGCAAGGGCUGUGCUGUGGCCGAGUGUCUUCGUUCAAGACCCUCUCCACCAAUAAGGCCAUCCCUUUGGUUCUAAUGAAAUCCUGGGACCCACCACUGAGCCCCUUGGUUUUGAAAGCCAAAGCCUAACCCUGUGGUACCUGAACUGUUGGCAUAAACUCAGCUCAGAAGGCAAUAUGAACCAUUUGUCAAUGAAAGCAGCAGCACGCAUUUAGCCCUGCAGGCUUUCAAGUAUUACCCAAUAAAACAAGCUUCUCCAUCCUUUCUGAAACCCCCACAUCGUGUUUCUGGCCUGCCUGUGGUUGUUCCACGGCUCUGUGAGGCUUUGUGCCUCUGAAAAGCCCCUCCUUGUGACAACCUGAGGUUUUCUUGGCUUGAAAUGCUGAUCUGGGCCAAACUCCAAGCGUCUGCUUUUUUAGAUUAACAUAGUUUAAAUUAAGAGAAAUUAACGAUGAAGAUGUAUCAUCAGCCUUUAGCUCUGUGUAUUGUUGGUUCGUGCUUUUGUCAUUACAUCGGUUCUCAAGAAGUAAAAAUUUCUGUUAAUAAUUUAAUUUUUACUUUGUUGUGUUCUUCUGUUGUUUUCUUG
ensembl:lncRNA